GGAGAGAAGGGGGCGCGGCGAGGGAGGGGGACUGAGGCGCCCGCUCGGUCCCCGCCCGCCCCGGGCCGCGCCCUGUGCGCUCUCCCAAAUUAUAUUUUAUAUAUUCGUCCUUGCCUUCCUUUCCUCGCUGUGUCUCCUGUGUUCUAACACAGUUAUAGAUUUAUUCUUUUUAUAUAAAUUUUAUGGGAUUUUGAAAGGAGGAUAAGUAUGUGCAGCCUGCUUGCACUGAAAGCAUUUAAAGGGAAAACUAUUGGUCACAGCAGCUUGGGUCAAGGAAUGAAAGUCAGGAGACAAGGGUUUGCUAUGUUGCCCAGACUAGCCACAGACUCCUGGGCUCAAGCCAUCCUCCUUCAGCCUCCAGAGUAGUGGGAUUAUGGGAUUAUGGGCUCGUACCACCGCACCAAGCUAUGUUUUUGAAAACAUCUUUGAAUGAGUGGACUGGGAGCCUCUAAAAGGCAAACACAGUGCCUACACACUGAGGCUGAACAAGACGUUGAAGGAAUAGGACAUCUGCAGAACUGUGUCACUCCUCCCUUCUGGCUGAAGAAUAAAGCAACUGCUAUAGAAA